CGUUGAAGGUCUGGGCCUCAAUGUGAAUUGUUUUGGUUAUAAAAUUUAGCAAGGUUUAAUUUACAAUGUAUUUUUUGCUUGAUAUAAAAAACUGCUGUUUGUAUCCUCAAAGGUCUCUGUAAAAGACUGUUUGUGUGAAUGAGGAAUGCAAGCAUCAGGAAAAGAUAAGGUGUGAAGGCCACUGUUAACCAGAUGGUCAAGAAAGGAGGAGUGAAGACACUUAUAGAGACUUAUUGACGCCAGAGAACCAUCAACGCGCAUCCAUGAUUGAGGAAGGGCAGAUUGAUGACCCUGAGGUGGAGGCUGGCACCCCUAAAGACAACUGAUUAAAUCAAAUCCGGGACAGGAUGACCCUCUCGGAGGUGUUUUGGAAUGUUAACAUCAAAAGAGAACACCAAUUAAGGAGUAACCGGUCAUAAACUGACACAGCAAAAUCCAUAGAUUUCAACAGAGAAAAAGGACUAUAAAAACAGGGUGCUUUGCCAUGGGGCUUUGGGUUCGUCUUGCCACUACUCCAGGAGCACCGGAUCACGACCGACUGAGCCCGGCUCCCCUCUGCAACCAAUCUGGCUGGCCACUAGAUUGAUCCAGACUCUGGACUGGAAUAAGGACCUACAAGACAGACACUCACGAAGAUGCGAGCCCAAAAUACAGUACAAAGUCUCCCUAUGGGACUAACAGACAUGGGGCAAAGAACCAUCAAUGAAAUAAGAACUUCCCAUCCCGAUCGUUAUGGAAGGACAUUGUAAUACCUGCAGUGAUGGAUACCAAUCUGAAAACCUGCAAAGACAGGCAGCAAAACUUUGUCUUACCUGAUCAUCAUACCCCUCGAUCUUCACGGGAGUGAACUGAUCCAUGUUAUACUGGGCAAAUGCACUGUUAAGAAUUGAAAAGAAAAAAGUUCUGGGGACCCAACUUGAGACUUUGGGCCCGAUUUUUCAGAGUAUCUGAGCACCCACAACUCUAACUGAAGUCAAUGGAAGCUACAGCUGCUCAACACCUCUGACAAAUCAAUCUCUAGGACUCCCAAGAUGGUCACCCAAAAUUUGUGAACACUUGAAAAUGUGGACUUUGCUUUGUAAACACCCUUUUUGAUCACAAACAUCACCUUAGACACCAAACUGCUCAGCCUGCACAAGUGCACACACAAUUAGCCAACAUUCAUAUAAAUCUAUGAGUCUUCUUGUGACCUAACAAAACACCACUGAGUUCCACAGCUUGGAAUUACCUGGAGGUCCAUAUGUCAAUUACGUACAGAGUGAGUUACCAAAGUCCUGAAAGGGGUGGAGGAGAGGGGCCUGCUACUAGAUGACAGCCUACUGGAUAACUGUGUAGCUAAGAGGUGUAAUAUACCGGAGAGUUGCCUGUGAUGUAAUUGCAUUGCUGCUGAUGACUGGUAGGAGGAGAUGCCACUGACCACCAGAAAACAAGCAGCAUGUGAUAGCUGAGAGAGGAGAUCCCUUCCAAGAAGGAAGACAAAUACCCUCUCCUCACCAAGUACCAUGGGACUAGAAAUUUGCAUAAAGAUGUACUCCUGCCUACUUUAAACACAAUUAGUUAUGCUUUACAGGCUUCAAAGGGAAAGUAACUGAAAUUAUAAGAACUCAUGGAAGAAAGUGUAAAGAUACAAAGUGCAAAAACAGGGAGUGAUGGAAACAUACAAAGUGCAAAAGUGGACAGUGAUGGAAAGUUACAAAAUGAAAUUGAGAUGUCAGCAGAGGGAGACCCUUCCUCAGAAACAAGCCUCCAGAUUUCAACAAGUGAUUUCUCUUGCAUCUGCCGUUGUGUGAUUCUGGUGAAUCGCACCACCCUGAGCUGGGGGCACACCUCCUGCCAACACUGCCUGGCUUUGUGAUGGAUGUCCUCCAGAGCAAACAAGUGUCCACAAUGUAGAAAAAAAAUGAGAAGAGCUCACAGAAGUCAAAGUUAUUCUCAAGCUAGCUACUGAAACAUUAUUUCCUGAAGCACGUUGCAAAGAGACUCGGCCUGAUUAAGCAGAUCAGUGAUACAACCCAUGGUCUUAAGGCUUUUCACAAACACUGGAAGGAUCAGAGAGUUAGUCAGCAGUGAGGCUGGGCAUUUAUCUCUAAGUUUUUGACCUGUUUAGCUACUGUGUCAGUCUGAUCAGGACCCUCUUGUUCUUGCAAUCUAGAGAGCAGGAGCCACAGUUAAACCUUUUUACUGGAGCUAAAGCAUCUCAAAAUACUUAAAUAAAAGCAGCCACAAAACCUUUGGGAAUACAAAGUAGCAAACCCUAAGCCAACAUUAUUUCUGCUGCAUGCACUGAAUACCUCUUCAAAACUCAGGAUAUUGUGUCUGUAUACUACUUUGAUUACACAGGUACGUCUCUCUCUUUCAUCCACACAAUAUGACCUGUGCAAGAAGACCAUAGAGUGAAUAUGAUCAGGAAACUUUUAGACCUAAGACCUCCUAUUUGGAAACAAGAGAGAAAAUUUCUAUUUAAGCUCAUCUAAGCCUAUCAAUUAAUUGCUAAGUUUGCACAGAGUUGACUAGGGAUUCACUAUUGGACACCAUGGUUUAUCAUUAUCAGGGAUCCUAGCAAUCCAUUUGCCAUGGAAAAAUGUGGAUUUUGCAUUUUUACAAUGAAUCUUGAGUUUUUACAUUUUGUGAAAAAAUAAAAAACGUAUACAGUAAAACCCCGUUUAUCUGGGCCUCCAUAAUCCAGCUCUCCGUAUUAACCGAACCACCAGCUGCCCAACGCUGAUAGCUCUUGCGGUCAGCCCGUGGUGGCUGGGGCAUGGGUGGUCAGUCCCUGGGCACCUGGUGGUUCGGUUAAUACAGAAAGCCAGAUAAUGGAGGCUCGGAUAAAUGGGGUUCUACUGUACAUCACUAAAACACUGAUACCUAUAUAUAUUGUGGCUAGGGAACUAGUUCAGUGUUUCAUUUUAACCAUGGAAAAACAUGGAUUUUUGUGAGGUUUUUUUAAUCGGAUACUUUUUUUUUUCAGUCAUGGAAAGCUAAGAUCCCUGAUCAUUAGUAAUGCCAUGUUACACUCUCUUCUGGAAUUACUGUUCAUUUGGAGUCUCUGGUUAAGGAAAAAACUGAAAACAAUUCCAUACAGAAUGUGGAACCAUUUCUGGCAUGUGUCAAUAAAGGGACUUGGUGCCAUUCUGUGACACAUUGUUAAUUCAUUUGUCUAGAAAUGUGUACUUCAUUGAUCAUUGUACUGUGGGCCUAUCAUUAAAAUUCACAAUGUAGUGAAAAAAUGAAGGCAUCUGGAAUCAGAAGCACUAUGAUAAAGAUCUGAGCAGGCUGAUGUCAGAAGAAAGUAAUACCUGAGAUUUCCUGAACUCUGAAGUGGGAAAGGAAAAUCAAAACCACCAAUGAGUUCUAAAAUGUAUUGAAUGCUAGUGUGUUGUAUCAUUUGAAUUCACGUGGCUUUGGUACUAAGGCAAAUUCGUUUCAGUCUAAACAACAGGUUCCCUAAUUCCAAGCUAGGCUUUAUGGUUUGCACAGUACCUGAGGGAAUGUAAUGUUACUGGACAGGACUCUGGAGGCAAAUAGACUCAGCCACACAAUUACACUGCUCCCUUUGAGGCUUAUAUAUAAAACAU